GGCUCAGGGGGAAGCGCGCGCCGGCGCCCUGCAGCUGCUUCGGCGGAACCGGGGCAGCGCGGGUGGCGCAAGUCGUUACCUGUGACUGUAACGCGAGGGACGUCUCACCCUCAUCAGCUGCCUUCGGACAGCGAAGAAGAUCUUUAUAAACAUUUUAAAAAUAGAAACAGGGAGCCGGCUCUGCCCGCCCCCUUGGAUGAGCUCAUGAAGCCACACCCAGUCUGGGAACCGAACCUCGGCCUCGCUUCCUACCCCAGGGCUCCCAAAUAGGCUGCGCUUUCAGGAGUUGGUGCAACUGCUGUCCCCGCGCAGUGCUCUGGCUGCUCCGGAUUUACGCAAUAGCAAAUUUCAUCUGCCGGGGGAUUCGGAGAAUUUACUUGAACACGUUUUUAACAGAAAGAUUCAAUCCGGCCACCUUGAACAGACUCGAGGAAGAGAGAAACUGCAGAGAAAGGAAACGUUUGCAGGCUGGCUGCGUUUCUCUUGGUCGGGCUUCCCCUAACCUCGUGCUGCAAGACGCAGCCUUUUUCUCUUAGUUGCACCCUAAGAAAGUGCAUUUUCAGUGUCCCCGAGAAGCCGCCUGAACCGGGGUGUACAAUCACGGGGGGGGGGGGGGGGGGGGGGUUGUAAAGUGCGUUACAAAACAGUUCUCCUGAAGCUCCUUGCAGCCUGCAAAAUGCACUUGCAAACUGGGCUACCGCCGGCCCCUUGCACUUUACCUACAGAGGCUUUCUUCACUCAGUUUGGAAAAAUAGGAGCAGCUCAGUCUCCGUGUUUGGAGGUGGAUCGGCGCGGUCCAUCGGACCUGUGGGACCACGGGGUGCACCACGAGAUCUCCUUGAGCCGCACUGAGAACAGAAACUGCUGCUCUGGACUCCUGCUCCACCUGCCGGAUGGAAACUCCUCCUGGAGCGCCUCUUAGCUGUGCUCUCCGAGCGCCGGCCCCUCUGCCACAGCAACAUCUGGGCGCCCACAGGAGGAAGACGGCAGCCCUCGGCCUCUGGGCCGAUCCUCAAGACGUAGUGAGCUCAGGUGGUUGCCAGGUCUUCCAUUCGGAAUCUCUGGGAGUUGGGGCUCAGGGGACCUCAGCCCGCUCCUGGGCUGGAGACGGAGCCCGGGCCAGCUUCGCAAGGUCAGUUACUCCUGCUGGCCUGAAGGGAAACUUCGAACCCAAAGUGAUUAAACACCGGGAAGCCUUCAGCUGUCCCACUGAUGCGCUGUGACAGAAGAACACCAGUCGGGCAGCACCUGAAGAGUUCAUGCUCUGUGCUUUUAAUUUGAAUCUGACUGCAAAGCAAUUGGUUUAGAAAGACCAUGUGGGAAAUAGAAAUGGUGACGUGGACUCCCAGUCCGGACAUUCAGAUUGGCAAUAAAUGCGGUUACAUUUCAGUGAGCGUCAAUUUGGUUUUCUUUGUAAGACACAAACAUUGAGACUGUAUUGU
rnacentral:lncRNA from 1 species